rnacentral:rRNA from 1 species
AUCGAACGCUGGCGGCAGGCCUAACACAUGCAAGUCGAACGAGUGGCGGACGGGAGAGUAAUGUCUGGGAAAUUGCGCGAUGGAGGGGGAUAACUACGGGAAACGGUAGUUAAAACCGCAUAGCAUUGGAUGUGCCCAGAUGGGAUUAGCUAGUAGGUGGGGUAAAGGCUCACCUAGGAAACGAGCCCUAGCUGGUCUGAGAGGAUGACCAGCCACACUGGAACUGAGACACGGUCCAGACUCCUACGGGAGGCAGCAGUGGGGAAUAUUGCGCAAUGGGCGCAAGCCUGAUGCAGCCAUGCCGCGUGUAUGAAGAAGGCCUUCGGGUUGUAAAGUACUUUCAGCGGGGAGGCGUUACCCGCCGAAGAAGCACCGGCUAACUCCGUGCCAGCCGCCGCGGUAAUAC